rnacentral:rRNA from 1 species
ACACACCGUGAACUCUUGGCCCUUGACCGGGAACAGGCGGGCGUCGGUGGCUUUACUGCCAUGCGGCGGGCUUCACGCGCCGGCUUCACAGCCGACCGUGCGGUUGACCUACUUAACCCAACAAACACCAAAUCAAUCAAUCUGAAGCAGCUUGCUGUCGGCCUGUCCGACAUGCAACUUAACAAAUGACAACUCUCAACAACGGAUAUCUUGGCUCCCGCAUCGAUGAAGAACGCAGCGAAAUGCGAUACGUAGUGUGAAUUGCAGAAUUCCGUGAAUCAUCGAAUCUUUGAACGCAUAUUGCGCUCGAGACCUCGGUCAAGAGCAUGUCUGGCUCAGCGUCGGCCCACCCCCUCGUUAACCACUUCCCUUGUGGAAGAGGCAAGACGGAUCUGGCCGUCUCUGUGCUCCUCGAGAGAACAGGGUCGGCUGAAGAACAGAGGCUUGAGCAUGGUCCCGCUGAAAGGGCGCCAGCUUGGUAGGUAGCUCACGCUGCAUGCCGCUGUCACCCCCAGGAACCUGUGCUGUAAAGCCGGCAGGAAUCGGUGGCUCACGCCCCGAACUCUUACAUUCGACCUGAGCUCAGGCAAGACUACCCGCUGAACUUAAGCAUAUCA